GACGAACGCUGGCGGCGUGCUUAACACAUGCAAGUCGAACGGUGAAGCGCCUUCCUUUUUGGUGGGUGUGGAUGAGUGGCGAACGGGUGAGUAACACGUGAGUAACCUGCCCCCUUCUUCUGGAUAACCGCAUGAAAGUGUGGCUAAUACGGGAUAUUCUGGGUCUGUCGCAUGAUGGGUCUGGGAAAGAUAUUGUUUCGGUGGGGGAUGGGCUCGCGGCCUAUCAGCUUGUUGGUGGGGUGAUGGCCUACCAAGGCGGUGACGGGUAGCCGGCCUGAGAGGGUGGACGGUCACACUGGGACUGAGACACGGCCCAGACUCCGACGGGAGGCAGCAGUGGGGAAUAGUGCACAAUGGGCGCAAGCCUGAUGCAGCGACGCCGCGUGAGGGAUGGAGGCCUUCGGGUUGUGAACCUCUUUCGCCAGUGAAGCAGGCCUGCCUCGUUUGUGGGUGGGUUGACGGUAGCUGGAGAAGAAGCGCCGGCUAACUACGUG
rnacentral:rRNA from 1 species